rnacentral:rRNA from 1 species
GAUGAACGCUAGCUACAGGCUUAACACAUGCAAGUCGAGGGACCGGCGCACGGGUGAGUAACACGUAUCCAACCUGCCCUUUACUCGGGGAUAGCCUUUCGAAAGAAAGAUUAAUACCCGAUAUAAAGGAUGGGGAUGCGUUCCAUUAGGUUGUUGGUGAGGUAACGGCCCACCAAGCCUUCGAUGGAUAGGGGUUCUGAGAGGAAGGUCCCCCACAUUGGAACUGAGGCACGGUCCAAACUGCGACGGGAGGCAGGAGUGAGGAAGAUUGGUCAAUGGGCGCUAUCCUGAACCAGCCAAGUAGCGUGAAGGAUGAAUGCUUAUGGGUCUUAAACUUCUUUUAUAGAAGAAUAUGUAUUAUAUGAAUAAGCAUCGGCUAACUCCGUGCCAGCAGCCGCGGUAAUAC